rnacentral:lncRNA from 1 species
GUUUUUCCAUUCUCUCUUUUCUUUUCCAUACCAACAGGAGGCAACCCGGUGGUCUCCAUCCAAUCUAGAUCAUCAAGCGCUCACAACAGGAGGCCACCCUGCGGGCUGUAAUCAAAUCUAGAUUUUCAGGUGCGCAACAAUAAGCGGCCAUCCUGUGGUUUCAGAAUAAACAAAAUUAUCAGGUGCACACGGGGGCGCCGAUCUCCCAUUUACCCGGCUAACAGAAACAGAAUCAGGAUCCAUAUAACAUCAGAAUAUAACAGAAAUCAGAAUCAGGAUCCGUAUAACAGAAACAGUCUCACAAACCCAUGGUGACCCACUUCAUCCCAAUUCCACACAAGCAAAGCACAGUAUAUGCACAGCACAAGUAAUCAAACAAUUCUUUCAAAACAUAUUAAUCAAUUAGACAUCCAACAUCAAAUGCAAAUAAAUAAGUAAAUAGUGUUAACAAUAAACAAUAAUAAUAAAAUAAAUAAUAAUAAUGAUAAACAAUAACAAUGAAAAUAAAUAAAUAAAUAUUGGAAUACUUAAAUGAAUAAUAAUGAAAAUAAACAAAUAAUUAGAGUACUUUAUAUUUAUUAUGUAUCAAAUUAUAGAAUUUAUUUAAAUAAACUUAUUAAUUAUAUUGUUAAUUAAAACUAAUCUAAAUUCUAUCGAAAUUUCGGCAGCAUCUCCCCUAAAAAUGAGAUUAUCUACCUGCUUAAAUAUCAGCAAUAUUACAUCCAUCAACCAUUACACACACAGCCCAUCCAUCGGGCAAUCAAACAAAUUAAUUUCCCUUCCUUCGUCCAAAAUAAUCACAUCAAUAUUUAAUCGUUAAUGUCAAGCUUCAACUUAUUAUAUAACAUUAAGUAAAUAAAUAAAUAAGCAAAUAAAUGAAAAAUAGCUAUUUGCUUAACCUCCACACAUUACUAGUUAAACAAUUUAAUAUAGACCCUUAACAAUCAUAUAAAACUAUAGCUUAUGUAUUCAAUAAUCAUCAACUAAAUUCGGAGUUUUUCGAUACCAAAAUUAUAUAUUACACAUUAACUAAUCAAUCUCAUAAAUCAUCUAUAAUUUAUACAUGUCUUUCUUUCUUCAUACCAUUACUAGAACCGACUUUCUAAUCAAACUCACAUAUAUAUACACUUAAUAGUUCCAAAUUAACUAAUUAAUAAAUUAUAUUAACCUCGAAGCAUGAUUCAAUCAUACUACUAAUUGCUCUAAAACUAUUCACUUGUCUAAGCCUUAAUUUAUAACUUCUCCUAACAAUAUUUAUCCAAGUUCCUAAAUUAGCUUACAUCAAUAUUAUACCGAUU